rnacentral:rRNA from 1 species
GACGAACGCUGGCGGCGUGCUUAACACAUGCAAGUCGAACGGAAAGGCCUUUUCGGGGGUACUCGAGUGGCGAACGGGUGAGUAACACGUGGGUGAUCUGCCCUGCACUCUGGGAUAAGCCUGGGAAACUGGGUCUAAUACCGGAUAGGACCGCACUUUAGUGUGUGUGGUGGAAAGUUUUUUCGGUGUAGGAUGAGCCCGCGGCCUAUCAGCUUGUUGGUGGGGUAAUGGCCUACCAAGGCGGCGACGGGUAGCCGGACUGAGAGGUUGGUCGGCCACAUUGGGACUGAGAUACGGCCCAGACUCCUACGGGAGGCAGCAGUGGGGAAUAUUGCACAAUGGGCGCAAGCCUGAUGCAGCGACGCCGCGUGGGGGAUGACGGCCUUCGGGUUGUAAACUCCUUUCGCCAGGGACGAAGCGUUUUGUAACGGUACCUGGAGAAGAAGCACCGGCUAACUACGUG